rnacentral:lncRNA from 1 species
CACUUAAGCAUCUUUAUGAGGUUGUCAAGGCAUUCAUCAAAGGAAUCCCAGUAGACUGUGAAGUCAUCAAUAAAAAAUUCUAUGUUUUUUUUCCAUAAAAUCAGAGAAGAUACUGAUCAUGCAUCUCUAGAAGGUUGCAAGUGUAUUGCAAAGGCUGAAUGACAUCCGUCUAUAGGCGAAAGUCUUGAAGGGGUAAGUGAAUGUGGCCUUUUCUUAAUCUUUAAGGGCAACCAGAAUUUGGUAAAACCAUAGUAUCUAUCCAAACAGCAGUAAUGGGUUCUGCUAGCUAGACUUUCUAGCAUCAAUAUAUAAAGGGCAGUGGAAAUUGGUCCUUUCUUGUUGAGGCAUUCAGCUUAUAAUAGUCGAUGCAGACCCUCCAACCAUUUUACACUCUUG